GAUGAACGCUGGCGGCGUGCCUAAUACAUGCAAGUCGAGCGAACAGAUGAGGAGCUUGCUCCUCUGACGUUAGCGGCGGACGGGUGAGUAACACGUGGAUAACCUACCUAUAAGACUGGGAUAGCUUCGGGAAACCGGAGCUAAUACCGGAUAAUAUAUUGAACCGCAUGGUUCAAUAGUGAAAGACGGUUUUGCUGUCUCUUAUAGAUGGAUCCGCGCCGCAUUAGCUAGUUGGUAAGGUAACGGCUUACCAAGGCAACGAUGCGUAGCCGACCUGAGAGGGUGAUCGGCCACACUGGAACUGAGACACGGUCCAGACGCCUACGGGAGGCAGCAGUAGGGAAUAUUCCGCAAUGGGCGAAAGCCUGACGGAGCAACGCCGCGUGAGUGAUGAAGGUCUUCGGAUCGUAAAACUCUGUUAUUAGGGAAGAACAAAUGUGUAAGUAAAUAUGCACGUCUUGACGGUACCUAAUCAGAAAGCCACGGCUAACUACGUG
rnacentral:rRNA from 1 species